CAUGCAGUCGAACGAUGAUGCCCAGCUUGCUGGGUGGAUUAGUGGCGAACGGGUGAGUAACACGUGAGUAACCUGCCCCUGACUCUGGGAUAAGCGUUGGAAACGACGUCUAAUACUGGAUAUGAUCACUGGCCGCAUGGUCUGGUGGUGGAAAGAUUUUUUGGUUGGGGAUGGACUCGCGGCCUAUCAGCUUGUUGGUGAGGUAAUGGCUCACCAAGGCGACGACGGGUAGCCGGCCUGAGAGGGUGACCGGCCACACUGGGACUGAGACACGGCCCAGACUCCUACGGGAGGCAGCAGUGGGGAAUAUUGCACAAUGGGCGAAAGCCUGAUGCAGCAACGCCGCGUGAGGGAUGACGGCCUUCGGGUUGUAAACCUCUUUUAGUAGGGAAGAAGCGAAAGUGACGGUACCUGCAGAAAAAGCACCGGCUAACUACGUGCCAGCAGCCGCGGUAAUACGUAGGGUGCAAGCGUUGUCCGGAAUUAUUGGGCGUAAAGAGCUCGUAGGCGGUUUGUCGCGUCUGCUGUGAAAUCCCGAGGCUCAACCUCGGGCUUGCAGUGGGUACGGGCAGACUAGAGUGCGGUAGGGGAGAUUGGAAUUCCUGGUGUAGCGGUGGAAUGCGCAGAUAUCAGGAGGAACACCGAUGGCGAAGGCAGAUCUCUGGGCCGUAACUGACGCUGAGGAGCGAAAGCAUGGGGAGCGAACAGGAUUAGAUACCCUGGUAGUCCAUGCCGUAAACGUUGGGCGCUAGAUGUAGGGACCUUUCCACGGUUUCUGUGUCGUAGCUAACGCAUUAAGCGCCCCGCCUGGGGAGUACGGCCGCAAGGCUAAAACUCAAAGGAAUUGACGGGGGCCCGCACAAGCGGCGGAGCAUGCGGAUUAAUUCGAUGCAACGCGAAGAACCUUACCAAGGCUUGACAUACACCGGAAACGGCCAGAGAUGGUCGCCCCCUUGUGGUCGGUGUACAGGUGGUGCAUGGUUGUCGUCAGCUCGUGUCGUGAGAUGUUGGGUUUAGGUCCCGCAA
rnacentral:rRNA from 1 species